rnacentral:lncRNA from 1 species
UGGUGCUCCGAUGAAAUGGGAGGUGAACUAUAGCAGUGAAUGCCAUAAUUAUUAUGGUGACAAUGGAUCUUGCUAGUGCACUAGAUGGUCGCCCAUCUCUUAUGCAUAGAACUUGCAUCAAAGGUGACACGGAGAGAUAGCUUCCAAUGACUUGCAUUAUGGUCUCCCAGGAUGUGCAUCUCGAGUAAAAUGGAGGCAGCGCUCAAAGAUGGCCACAAAAGAGGAGUCGGCCAUGCAAGUUCUUGUGGAUACACCAAUGAU